rnacentral:rRNA from 1 species
UAGGUUAACGAGGCGAACCGGGGGAACUGAAACAUCUAAGUACCCCGAGGAAAAGAAAUCAACCGAGAUUCCCCCAGUAGCGGCGAGCGAACGGGGAGCAGCCCAGAGUCUGAAUCAGCUUGUGUGUUAGUGGAACGGUCUGGAAAGUCCGACGGUACAGGGUGAUAGUCCCGUACACCAAAAUGCACAGGCUGUGAACUCGAAGAGUAGGGCGGGACACGUGGUAUCCUGUCUGAAUAUGGGGGGACCAUCCUCCAAGGCUAAAUACUCCUGACUGACCGAUAGUGAACCAGUACCGUGAGGGAAAGGCGAAAAGAACCCCGGCGAGGGGAGUGAAAAAGAACCUGAAACCGUGUACGUACAAGCAGUGGGAGCACCUUCGGGUGUGACUGCGUACCUUUUGUAUAAUGGGUCAGCGACUUAUAUUCUGUAGCAAGGUUAACCGUAUAGGGGAGCCGCAGGGAAACCGAGUCUUAACUGGGCGUUAAGUUGCAGGGUAUAGACCCGAAACCCGGUGAUCUAGCCAUGGGCAGGUUGAAGGUUGGGUAACACUAACUGGAGGACCGAACCGACUAAUGUUGAAAAAUUAGCGGAUGACUUGUGGCUGGGGGUGAAAGGCCAAUCAAACCGGGAGAUAGCUGGUUCUCCCCGAAAGCUAUUUAGGUAGCGCCUCGUGAACUCAUCUUCGGGGGUAGAGCACUGUUUCGGCUAGGGGGUCAUCCCGACUUACCAAC